rnacentral:other from 1 species
CUGCGUCCGCUGCGUUCGCGUGGGUCCUAUAGUUCCUUGAACCGAUGCUCAAUGAGCAAGGGAGAGGAAGAUUGCCCGGCUGGUGUGAUCGUCUCGCGUCAGAUGAACCCGAAGCCCCGCUGACCUCGCCCACCUGAACUUCACCAAGGGUUCAGGAAUGCGGCUCACGGCUCGCAGCGGACACCUC